GCUUCUCGGCCUUUUGGCUAAGAUCAAGUGUAGUAACUCAUGGAGGCAGCCCCCCCCAGUCACCCUGUGCCUCCCUUGGGGACAGAGAGAAGGGGGCUUUCCAGAUUUGCCACCCUUCCCUUAAGCUCCCCCUGAAGUGUUCUCUUUCAAGCAACCAAAUGAUGGCCCGUGACUCUAUUUAACUCUAAAGGUUUCGAUCCUGGAAGGUGUCUGUGCCUGUGACACCGACACACACACACACACACACACACACACGCACACACCCCUUCCCCGACUCACCCAUCUGGAAGGAGCCAGCCCCUCUGCACCACCCAAUGCUCACCAAGGAGGGGAUCCCUGCCCUGGAGGGGGCGCUGCCAGGGACCGUCGCCGUAGCCCCUACACCAGAUCACAGCGCAUUCUUGUCAUUGCUGGCCUCCAACGCUGGGGCACGUGAGGACCUCCCAUAUGUGCCUCUCCCCCCCCCCCCCCCGACCCAGACCCUGUGGGGACCACAGGCACCAGCAUCCUGCACUCUAAACGGAAAUAUUUUUGUAAGGCUCUGGGGCAGGGAGGGAGCAUGAAGUACCAGGAAAACUUGAAUCCCAGAUUUUUAAUGCAAAGUAUUUAUCAUUUGUACCAGAAAUAAAAGUUUAAAUUUUUAUUUGA